GUCAGUGGUGAAAUCCUUCCGCUUAACGGGAGAACGGCCAUUGAUACUGUUAGACUUGAAUUAUUAGGAAGUAACUAGAAUAUGUAGUGUAGCGGUGAAAUGCUUANAGAUUACAUGGAAUACCAAUUGCGAAGGCAGGUUACUACUAAUGGAUUGACGCUGAUGGACGAAAGCGUGGGUAGCGAACAGGAUUAGAUACCCUGGUAGUCCACGCCGUAAACGAUGGAUACUAGCUGUUCGGAGCAAUCUGAGUGGCUAAGCGAAAGUGAUAAGUAUCCCACCUGGGGAGUACGUUCGCAAGAAUGAAACUCAAAGGAAUUGACGGGGGCCCGCACAAGCGGUGGAGCAUGUGGUUUAAUUCGAUGAUACGCGAGGAACCUUACCAAGGCUUAAAUGUAGAUUGACCGGUUUGGAAACAGAUCUUUCGCAAGACAAUUUACAAGGUGCUGCAUGGUUGUCGUCAGCUCGUGCCGUGAGGUGUCAGGUUAAGUCCUAUAACGAGCGCAACCCCUGUUGUUAGUUGCCAGCGAGUCAUGUCGGGAACUCUAACAAGACUGCCAGUGCAAACUGUGAGGAAGGUGGGGAUGACGUCAAAUCAUCACGGCCCUUACGCCUUGGGCUACACACGUGCUACAAUGGACGGUACAGAGAGCAGCCC
rnacentral:rRNA from 1 species